UACAGAGGUCUCAAGCGUUGUUCGGAUUCAUUGGGCGUAAAGGGUGCGUAGGCGGCGCGGUAAGUCGGGUGUGAAAUUUCGGAGCUUAACUCCGAAACUGCAUUCGAUACUGCGGUGCUUGAGGACUGGAGAGGAGACUGGAAUUCAUGGUGUAGCAGUGAAAUGCGUAGAUAUCGAGAGGAACACCAGUGGCGAAGGCGAGUCCCUGGACAACACCUGACACUGAGGCACGAAAGCUAGGGGAGCAAACAGG
rnacentral:rRNA from 1 species